rnacentral:lncRNA from 1 species
AGACGCCGGGGCCACCCGCAGCACGCAGAGCUUCUGGGAGCCGGUGGCAAGGCCGAAUUGGGAUGCAAACCAAAUGGACGUGGGUGACUGGCAGAAAACGCCUCCCACAAAUGGGAGGGAUUUCGGAGGGAACCGAAAGAAAGUUGCUGAGCUUUUUCCACCAGGAUGCCUCAUGGGUCAGUGUCCACCCUGGUUCAAUCACCUGUGGCUAGGGGAUAAGUCUGUGGCUUCACUGUACACUGUCUUGGAUCACUCACUCUUGGGAAACCAGCCACCAUGUUAUGAGGACACUCAAGUUCUCUGUGAAGAGAUCCAUGUGAUGAGGAACUGAGAUCUCCUGCCAACAGCCGGAACCAACUUUCCAGUCAUGAGUGAGAUCUUAAAAGUAGAUCCUCCAGCCCAUAGUGAAGCCUUCAGUUGGUUUAUCCCCAGCUGACACCCUGACUGCAACCUCAUCAGAAACCCUGAUCCAGAAUUUCCCAGCUAAGCUGUGCCUGAAUUCCAGACUCACAGAAACUGUGAGAGAUAAUAAAAAUUGAUUUAGGCCUCUAA